UAGGGGAAUCUUCCACAAUGGGACGAAAGUCUGAUGGAGCAACGCCGCGUGAGUGAAGAAGGUUUUCGGAUCGUAAAACUCUGUUGUUGGAGAAGAAUGUAUCUGAUAGUAACUGAUCAGGUAGUGACGGUAUCCAACCAGAAAGCCACGGCUAACUACGUGCCAGCAGCCGCGGUAAUACGUAGGUGGCAAGCGUUGUCCGGAUUUAUUGGGCGUAAAGCGAGCGCAGGCGGUUUCUUAAGUCUGAUGUGAAAGCCUUCGGCUCAACCGAAGAAGUGCAUCGGAAACUGGGAAACUUGAGUGCAGAAGAGGACAGUGGAACUCCAUGUGUAGCGGUGAAAUGCGUAGAUAUAUGGAAGAACACCAGUGGCGAAGGCGGCUGUCUGGUCUGUAACUGACGCUGAGGCUCGAAAGCAUGGGUAGCAAACAGGAUUAGAUACCCUGGUAGU
rnacentral:rRNA from 1 species